GCCAGCAUGGUGUAGUGGUUUGAAUGUUGGACUAUGGCUCUAGAGACCAGGGUUCAAUUCCCAGCUUGGCC